UGAAGGAAGGAAGGAAGGAGGAAGCAAGGAGGGAGAGAGGGAAGGAAGAAAGAAGGGAGGAAGGAAGAAGCAGAAAUAAUGUUAUAAUACUACAGACGAAGGUAUAUGAAAUCAGGAUGGUAAUGACAGUUGCAAAAUAGGUGAAAGCAUUUGCUCUUCCUGCCAGAGCAAGAUGGCUGGGGGGCCUUAGACAGUGAGUAAUCAAAAUUGGAAGCAGAAACUAUGGCUUCCUAGUUGCUAGUAGCUAGGGUAAUGAGUUAGAGAGUUAGGAUUAAUGAUACAGGAUUUGUAUUUCUCACUAGUCAGGAUCCAAAGAACUUUAGAAUCAUUAAUUGAGAGUGGGAAGUGUAACCAGGUCUCAGAAGAAAUUCUAUUUAAUUGUUUAAGUUAUAGACCUAUACUGAGUGCAAAGUUCCAUAGUGGUGAUGACACAGAGUGGACUAGAAUCCCAGAGCAGUCAUUAUUUGAAUGGUUUGUGCAAUUGACAUAUGCCUCAGUUUUUGUUUUUGUUUUUUAACCAAUAAGCAUGGAAAAAAAAAACCUCCUAUGUUAGUUUCUUAUUUUUCAUAUAUAGAAAGUCAUAUGGAAUACUCCUGCUAUAUGGCUAUCUCUGAUCUUCUGCCCCAGGAUAUAUUUUUCAGGCAUUGAAGGACUGAUGUGAGUUACUCUGGUAGUCCUGGCACUUAGGGUCUUGGUGAAUCUGCUUGGGGAAAGGAAUGAAGGCAUGGAAACAGGACAGAAAGGUGAAGCUAGAGCAGAGAAAAAGCACUGAAAAGAAACUUCAACUGAUUUUUAGUUUCACCUAGGGUAUUUCUAGGAGUUAGAACCUCCAUCCAAGAAUGCCUGAGCUAAUGUAAAUUAAGAUCUGACUUUAUGUCUUGGUUCUACCCAUCAAUCAUAAUCACUCGGUUAUUAACAGAGUAUUUGCCAAAGGCCAAUGGCACUUCGUGACCAAACAAGAAGAAAAGGAAAUAUGAAAGUUCUUAAUAUAUAACUUUUCUUGUGGGUUUACAUUUUCUUUUUUUUUUUAGUUCUGAAUCAGGUAAUUGAUUCAGUUUUUCAUGUUUGCACAGUUUAUUUAACUAUGUUAACUAAAUGGUCUGAACAGAAUAGUUGCUACCAUGGCUUAAGUUACUGGUUCAGUGUCUAUGGCAAUGCAUUAAAUCAAGUUUCUGCUCCCAGUUUUAUAAAAAGGAAAAUUGACUAGAUGAGAACAUUGCCACCUUAUUCAUUAUGUAUAGCUCAUUAGUUCCCUUGUCAACUUUCCUUUGCUUUUAAUCAAUUGAAAGAAAAAGUCUUCAUGGAUUUUUAGUAGGAAACAUAUGGAGCUGUAAAUCAUCAGUAAUGUGUGAACUUAUAUUUACAGGUGCAACUGACCUUGACUGUGCAUCCUUCCCAACUUACUUCUUAUAAAUCCUGUAAUCAAUAAGUGAAAUAGUAUUCCAUACCCUUCAUAAUUCACCUUCCAAUGUCUGUUUUUCCACACAUCAUCUAAGCUUCUAUAAAACAUUCUUUUCCUCUGUAAUGGACUCCAAUCCUGUUUAUAAGUUUUAUAAAUAAGAGCUUAACAUUUCUUCUCAAUACUUAGAAAUGACGAUAAAAGAAUUAGUUGACAAGAUUGGUAUCUUAAGAAUUUCAACUCCACUUAAAUAUCUAAGUGGAUGCUGCAUUUUUUCAAAGAGUUACCCUGAGUGGCAAUAUAUUCAUUCCAAGAGUGUUGCCUUUGCACAUAGAUCAUUGCAGCUAUCCCUUUCAAAUAGCAUUUAGAAUCUAUUUUCAGAUUUAAAAAAUAGUCUAACAUUAGUUUUAAAAAAUAACCAAAGGUAUUUAAUGCACACCACUACAUAUUAUUUCUUUCUAUAUACAUUUGUGAAUUUAUUGGGAAGAGUAAACAGUUGGAGAUGUGUCAAUGCUGGGUUUGAGGUUGGAUGAGAUUUUAUAUUAUUAAGUGGAGAUUAUUACAUUAGAAUGAGACUAGAACCAAUCUAUCUUGGGCCUUUAUACUUCUUUUUUCUCCCUCAGGUUUGAGGUAUCAGGACACAUUUAGGGCCCUGUUACCUUUUAAACAUAAUAUGGGCUCAAGUAAAAUGAACUAUUAUUUUCAAAAUAUAUUAACGCAUUACAGGAUGUUAGCCAAGUAAAUUUUUAUACAUAUUUAUUUUACUUUAAGUGAAUAUUUAAAAUACAUUUUCAGUUUGUUUCUUAGGAUAAGUGAGAAAAAUAUCAAAUAUUUGAGAGAAAAAAAGAUUUUUAAAAAGAGCGAGAGUUACUCAUAAAAAAUGAGUAAAUUCGGCCAGGCGCGGUGGCUCACGCCUGUAAUCCCAGCACUGUGGGAGGCUGAGGCGGGUGGAUCACGAGGUCAGGAGAUCGAUACCAUCCUGGCUAACAUGGUGAAACCCCAUCUCUACUAAAAACACAAAAAAUUAGGCGGGCGUGGUGGCGGGCACCUGUAGUCCCAGCUACUCGGGAGGCUGAGGCAGGAGAAUGAUGUGAACCCGGGAGGCGGAGCUUGCAGUGAGCCGAGAUCGCACCACUGCACUCCAGUUUGGGUGACAGAGCGAGAUUCCGUCUCAAAAAAAAAAAGAAAGAAAGAAAUUACAUUUAAUAAAACUGAUUCCUUCAACUUUAAAUACAUAUACUUUUUAAGAUAAGGUCUCCUUCUGUUGCGCAUGGUGAAGUAUAGUGAGUAUAGCUCACUGCAGCCUUGAACUCCUGGGCUAAAGGGAUCCUCCCACUUGAGCCCCCUGAGUAGCUUGGACUACAGGUCACCAUGCCUGGCUAAUUUAAUUUUUUGUGUAUAGAGAUGGGGAUCUUGCUAUAUUGUCCAGGCUAGUCUCAAACUGCUACCCUCAAAUGAUCCACCUAUCUUGGCCUCCCAAAGCCUGGGGAUUACAGCCAUAAGCUACCUCGCCCAGCCAAGAUUUUGUUUCUAUUUUGGGUGCACCCUUUAUAAGAGAUCAAGUACACCAUUAACAUGUUAUGUGUAUUACUUGGAAAAUGAAAUGGAAACAUUAUCCAUUCAAUCACUAAUUCUCUCAAGAAGACAUGCCUAUAUUCCCAGGGGCUAAAUUAUAUAUUUUUUCUAACUGCAUUCCUAACUCCCCAGCUUUCUCCAGAUCCUGAUAUGUCUCCUCCCUGUUCUAUUCAUUUCCAUUGUGUUGAAAACCAUACUCUGCAAGGCGCAGUGUGUCUGACUGAAGUAUAUUAUGCACGCGAGCUUUCCAAAAGCUGAAAAAAAUAUUGAGAACCAAUGAAUAAAACCAUAGGUAUCUAAAAGACAUUGAAUAAUAAUAAGAGAUAUACAAUAGAAUUUAAGAAUUCAUUAAUAAAAAGUAUAACUGGAGUUUUUCUAAAAUAAUGGACUCUUAAACCAGUAAAAUAUAUAUCUAAUUUAAAAUGGUUUCUUUUAAAUUAUAAUAAAACAUAUACAUGUAGGCACAUCUUAUUAAACAAUGGACAAAUGUAGAACUAAAUUUCAUUUCCACUUAAAAAGGCACAGGCAGGUUUCAAAUGGUUCUGCAUAUAAACUUGCUGACAUGAAUAAUUUUAAAUCAGGCCAGUUAUAGCUUUCAUUCUUUGAACUGAAUUCAAAACUCUCUUACUUUUACAUUAUUAGAGAGAUGAAUCAAAUGUUUCUAUAAUGCCUACUUUCAUUCAAUCCACACCCAAUUUUAGAGGACUGCUGUCACAAUGCCAAAAAAACAUAGACUGAAGUUUUAAUAAUGUUUCUUAUAUGAUAAAGAAAUUCUAGGGUAAUUUUAUAGCACAGUAUAAGUGCUGAACUUGUGUUAUACCUUUCAAAUAACAGUAACCACCUCUAAUUUCUUAAAGGGCUCUUUAAAAAAAUGCAUGGUAUGUCCAUCAUAGAGCAAGAAAUGCCUCUUUUUAUAAUAUAUUCAAAAUGGAGGUGGUUAUGUUUCCUUUUACACUGGUAUUGCAAUUCAUUUUCUGUUAGUAAGCAAGAAUAUUGACCAACUGUAUUACACUCUGUUCUCACACUGCUAUAAAGAAAUACCCAAGACUGGGUAAUUUAUCAAGGGAAGAGAUUUAAUGGACUCACAGUUCCACAUGGCUGGGGAGGCCUCAGGAAACUUACAACCAUGGUGGAAAGGGAAGACGCACAUCUUACAUGGUGGCAGGAGAGAGAUAACAAGCAAGAGCAAGGAAAACUGCCUUAUAAAACCACCAGAUGUCAUGACAACUCUCUCAUUAUCACAAGAACAGCAUGGGAGAAACCACCCCCAUGAUACAAUCACUGCCCACUUGGUCCCUCCCUCUACACAUGGGGAUUAUGGGGAUUACAAUUUGCAGUGAGAUUUGGUUGGGGACACAGAGCCAAACCAUAUCACCAACAUAAUAUAAAAUCACUUUGAAAGGACCUCAAAAUACAUCCUAAAAUUUGUUUCAAAGAUGAAAAAUAUAACUUAAAAUACCAUGACUUCUGAAUCAGGGUAGUUUGCAAGGUGAUUAUCUUCACAAUUAGAACCAAAAUGCUUAAUAAUACUAUUUUAGUUUGUGUAAAACUUUAAAGAGUAUUCAUGCUCUUCAUCUCCCUAUUUCUAUCUUUUUUAAAGAAAAGCAGUCAAUUAGUUAAAUAAUCACUAAUGCAGUUUUAUAUGAUAAUAAAUAAUGACACCAACUUGGAUUGUCUUAACAAAUCUGAACAGUGACUUUUCUUUUGAGAAUUGAAAGCAUCCCUAGAAACAAAUUUGCCUGUAUGUUUAAUGACUCAUACAUUCCAAAUACAUCCAGGAGACAAUCAACAGUUUAUCUGAUGUAUGAUAUAUAAAACAAAUUAUUUAAGUGAACUUCAUUUAUCUUAGUCUAUACGAUAUAAUCAUAAUGCUAUUUAUAAUGAGCUCAAAUAGCAACAAGAAAAUAUUGGAGAAGUUAAUAUUGAAGAAAUAAAAUUAAUCAAGCUGUCCUACUAUUCAAUUUCUGAAUAUUCAGAUACAGUAAAUGUUAGUUAAUACAUGAACAAGUAAUUAUCAAGAAAAUAAUCCGAUUUACAAUAACUAACAAAAAAAUCUUAUGGAUGAGUUUAACCAAGGAGGUGAAAGAUUACUACACUGAGAGAUCAAUACACUAAAACACUGAAAAACAUUGAUAAAAAAACUGAAGAAGACACAAAUAAAUGGAAAGAUAUUUUGUGCUCAUGAAUUAGAACCCUUAAUAUUGUUAAAAUGUCCAUACUAUUCAAAACAAUCUACAGAUUCCAUUCAAUCCCUAUCAAAAUAUCAAUGAAAUUCUUCACAGAAAUAGAAAAAAAUACUCUAAAAUUCAUAUGGAACCACAAAACACCCCAAAUAGCAAAGCAAUCUUGAGCAAAAAGAACAGAUCUGGAGGCAUCACACCACCUGAUUUCAAAAUACACUACAAAGCUAAUAGUAACUAAAACAGCAUGGUACUGGCAUUAAAACAGACACACAGGCCAACAGAACAGAAUAGAGAAGAUAUAAAUAAAUUCAUGCACUUAUAGCCAACUUAUUUUCAACAAAGGUGCCAAGUAUACACGUGAAGAAAGGACAGUCUUUCAAUAAUUGGUGCUGGGAAAACUAGAUAGUCACCUGCAGAAGAAUGAAGCUAGACCUCUAUCUCUCACCAUGUACAAAAUCAAUUCAAAAUUGAUUAAAGGCUGAAAUGUAAGAUCUGAAAUGAUAAAACUACUGGAAGGAAACCUAGGAGAAAUGCUUCAUGACAUUGGUCUGGGCAAGGAUUUUUUUGGAUAAGACCACAAAAGCACAAGCAAGAAGAGCAAAAAUAGCAAAAUGGAAUUACAUCUAAUGUAAAUGCUCCUGUACACCAAAGGAAACACUCUAAAGAGUGAAAAUAGAACUUACAGAAUGGGAGAAAAUAUUUGAAAACUAUGCAUCUGACAAGAGGUAAUAUACAGAAUAUAUCAGGAACUCAACUCAAUAGCAAAAACCCAAUUAAUCCAAUUUAAAAAUAUGCAAAACACCUGAGUAGAUAUUUCUCAAAAGAAGAUAAACAAAUGGCAAUGGGUAUAUGAAAAAAUGCUCAUUAUCACUAAUAAUCAGGGAAAAGCAAAUCAAAACCACAAUGAGAUAUCACCUCACUCUGAUUAGAAUGACUGUUAUCACAAAGACAAAAAAUAACAAAUGCUGGCAGAUGUGGGGAAAGGGAAUUCUUAUACACUGGUGGAAAUGUAAUUAGUAUUAGCUAUUAUGGAAAACAGUAUGUAGGUUCCUCAAAAAAUUAAAAAUGGAACAACCAUAAAAUCCAGCAGUUGCACUAUGGAGUAUAAAUCCAAAGAAAAUUAGGUUGGUAUGUUGAAGAGAUAGCUGCACUCUCAUGUUUAUUGAAGCUCUAUUCAUAAUAGCCAUGAUAUGGAUUCAACCUAAGUAUCUACCAAUGGAUGAAUGGAUAAAGGAAAUUUGGUGUACACACACACACACACACACACACACACACACACACACACAUAAUGGAGUACUACUGAGCCCUAAAAAAGCAUGAAAUCAUGUCAUUUGUGGCAACAUGGAUGACACUUGAGGACAUUAUGAUAGGUGAAAUAAGCAAGACAAAGAAAGACAAAGGCCUUCCUUAUUAUCUCACUUACCUGUAGAAUCUACAGGAGUUGAUCUCAUAGAACUAAAGAGCAGAAUAGUGGCUCCCAGAUCUGGAACGUGUACAAGAGGAAGGAUGGGGAGAAACUGAGUCAGCAGGUACAAAGUCACAGUUAGAUAGGAAGAAUAGGUUCUGGUGUUCUAUUGCACAGUAGAAUGACAAUGGUUAACAGUAUUGUAUAUUUUAAAUAGCUGGAAAAGAGGAUUUUGAAUGUUCUCGCCACAAAAAAAAAUGAUAAAUGUGCGAAGUUAUGGAUAUGCUAAAUGCCCUGAUCUGAUUUUCGCACAAUGUAUACAUGUAUCACAACAUCACACUAUAUACCCCAUAAAUAUAUUUAUUAUUAUGUGUCUCUUAAAAACAAAAUUUCAAAAAUGGUAAUCUUGUUAUACUAAGGUUUCUGAAAAUGCAAAGAGAAAUGUGAUAUAUAUAUGUUACUCCUUUAAACUUAAAGAGUAAAAAAUUAAAAUCAAUGUAUCCUAAAUACUAAAAAAAAAUUAGAAUGUUGAGCUAAGACGACAAGAUGAAAAAGAGUAGUACUUUUAGUGCAGGAGUAAAUUUCAGAAUUUUAGAGAUUGUAUUUUUAAAGGUAAAUCACUACCUGUCCUGUUAAGAGGAAGCUAAGACAGAUACUGUGGUUCUCACCUGUAAUCUCAGCACUUUGAGAGGCCAAGGCAAGUGGAUGGCUUGAGCCCAGGAGCUUGAGACCAGCCUAGGCAACAUAGGGACAUGCCAUCUCUACCAAGAAAUACAAAUUAAAAAUUUAGCCAGGCCUGGUGGCAUGCAUCUGGGGUGCUACCACCCAGCUACUCCGGAGACUGAGGCAGGAGGAUUGCUUAAGCCAGGGAGAUCGAGCUGCAGUGAGCCAUAAUCAUGCCACUGCGCUCCAGCCUGGGUGACAGAGCAAGAAACUGUCUCAAAUUAAAAAGGUGCGGGAAGAUAAGUUUGUGUUUAUACCUUUGUAAAUAUAAUUCUGAAACUGUAGCGUAUUUUUGACAAGUGCUUUGCUUUUGUUAUCAAAUAAUGCUGGCAGUGGAAUGAGGCUCACGACAUUAUUAUCAAUAAACACAUAAAGAAAAUAAAAGGCUAUACCUAUUUUUCUUUCUAAUGUUCUCAAGAGUAGGCCAAAAAUAUAACAAGCAAGAUACUAGAGGUUUAGUUAAUCUGAUUGUAUUGUUUUCAUAUAGAUCUCUAGAUUUCUGCAAUUGGAUGUGUUUAACAUGAAACCUUGAUAUAUGAUUUCACUACCAACAACAACAAAAAAUCAGUUGGGAUUAUGAUUUCUAAUGGUGUGGAAACCCUGUUUUAUAAAAAUAAGACACAUUAGCUACUUAAAGUUCAUCUGAACCUGAACUGUAAUUAUUUCAGAGAAGUCCUGAAAUCAUUUUGGUCCUGAUUUAGAGGUCUUCUUUGUCUUUUCAAUUUAAAGCAAUUUUCAUGUAUAGAUUUUUACCACAUUUCCACCUUUUAUAAAACCCUAAAGAAUAUCAGUCACUAAACCUACUGUAGUAACUGAUCUGAUAUUCAUUUAAGCUAAAACUUUAAGCUAAAAGAAAAUAAUUAAAUUUGUUUGACCUAAAAAGAAUGUCCUUGCAUUUUGUAGUCUCCAUUAAAAAAAAAAACACUCCAGUAAUCUUUCGAAUCUUUUUUCAGCCAACAGCUCUGUAACAUCUUGCCUCUAUACAUGAUACUGCCUUUUUAGCCAAUUCCAACCUAGAGCAAUGAGUAACCAUGGCUCCAUCCAAUUUUCCACAUGACAUCUGUGGCAGUAGAAGUAUUAACAGGACUUCUCUCCUGGAGAGCUUUGCCUUAGGAAGAGCUUAAAUUUCUGUAAGAAAGUCACUGACACAGGAAUUCAGUCAGGACUCUGCACUAGGACUAGAAGCUGCCAGGGUUCAGAUGCUGACAAGGCAAUGUUUCUUAUCUCUGAGAUUUCGUGCCCUUCCCCCAUGAAGCUAUGCUCCUCCAGUCUGGCAGGGAACUCGCCUAUGGACAAGAGGGUGACAGACAUCUUUUGAUGAUGAGCAUCCACAGGCACAGGGAACAGAAUCUUGCUAUUCAUUGAGCUGCACAGCUGUGGCAACUGGAUUCUGCCCGGGUGUCAACAAUGGGGGCAGGGCUUCAGUUUAGGCAAAAGGGAAACAGCUUGAGUAUAAAUGAACUGCUUUUAGGCUCUUUGAAUUUAUCUUCCCCAGAUGCCCUGAGAUUUCAGAUCCACUCUUUAUUUUACUAAAACUUCAUAGCUGUGAAGUGACCAUCUUCUCUGAAGGCUCACAUGGAAAAAAAACAAACAUGUUUCUACAUGGUAAAAGGCAUGUUUGCAUAUUUACAUAUGAAUAUAUUGAUGGAUCCUUGGCAUUAAUGAUUCUACAACUGUAUGUUCUUAUUAAACUCUGGGUUCAGCAUAAAAUAGUAUCUUACUGAUUUAUCUUCAGUGCUAUUGUAUGGUCUGCUUGGCUGCAGGUUGUAUAAGAUGACAAAGCAUUGAUUUAGUGAAUUUUUUCACAGUUUUGUGAACAAAAAGCUUGCAUAUUUAAUAAGUAAGUUAUUCAAAUCUUGAAGAAAUACAGGCACGUUCUCCAGGCAUUUUUAGAAAGAAGAGAAAGAGAAUCUAUAGCAGGUGGAUAUUUCCAACUAGGCAAAACGAAAAGCACACAAAGAGUUAACUCAACUGUAUAAAUGAAUAUGCUAAUGAAUGCAUAAUUUAUCUCUGAAGAAACAUAUUUAUUGUUUCACUAUUUGAUUAGAUGGCUUCAAUGUUCAAUUAAUCAGUUACCUUUCAAUAUCAUUCCUGAGAGCUGCUUAAUUAAUCUGUUGCACUACCACCCUAUUCAUCCUAUUAGCAAUCCCUCGUCCCAUUUCAAAUGACAAAAUCCAGGAACUGUGCCACGUAAAGACUUUAUGUCAAUGUCAAGUGAAGGUUGAUAAGUGGCUGGCUUUUUUUCUUUAUUAGGUUAAUCAAACCAAUCAGCUUUAUAGGAUUUACAUUUGUCAGAAAAUGUUAAUGAGUUGAAACUAAUGAGAAAUAGAGGGGGAAAACCACCAAGAGAAUGGUGGCACAGUUUAUACACUUCAACAGCAAUAUACUACUUUCAUUAAAUAGAUUGUUUUAUCCUCGUUUUCUAAAUGAUGGAUUUAAAAUGUCCUGCUAAUUAAACUCAAACUCGUCUAUUGUGUUCUAUAUUGCAUCUCUUACUAACAAAGGAAGCACAAUAGAUACACAUUCAUAUGUGUCUUUGAAUCAAAAAGUGUGCUGUAUGUUUACUACUUUCUGGGCACUGUUUCUUCCAUAAUGUUAUUAAUAAUAGUUCUAAUAAUAGUUCCAUGAAAACUUACCAGUUUGAAGGUGCUAUGUACAUAGUAUAGAGUAGAUUUCAAGAAAUGGUUGAGAUACCCCAAGACUUAAAUCAUGGGUUGAGUUCUUUCCUCAUCUGUUUCAUUUAAGCUUGAAAUAUCUCUCUUCUACUUCUCUUUUCUUCCUUUUCUCUUACUAUUGUCUGAUACUCCGGAUAAUUCCUCAGCAUUACUCCCUUUGCUCUCCAGAGCAGGGACGUUUUGAUAGAAGUUGCAGCACAAAUCUCAUACCACCUCCUUUACCUUCUCAAUGUCCUAGGCCAACUUUCAUUUUCACCCACUACCUCACAUACACACACUCCUUAGCAUUCUCAGAGGGAUUUAAUACACUUUGAAUCAAUCAUCUGUUACCUUAAAUAACUUCCAAAGCAAAAUACAUAUCAAACCAUAAGGUGUUGUUUCUUUAAUUGUAUGGGUGCCAUAAGUCUCUUUGAGAAAACUAAUGAUAAUAAUAGUAAUAUUUGUCAUAUACUUGAGUACUUUUAAUUUGCCAUGCACAACUUUAAAUUCUUUUUUUCUAUAUGUCUCAGACAGAAUAGAUGGAGUGUGCAAGGAUAGAUGGUGAAUAUGUAUUUUGGUAAAUUUGUAGAGAAAACGAAGAAAACAUAUAAUUCACUAAAUAAUGAUAAUAUCCAAUGUCUGUUGGGGGCAAAGAGCCUAGAAUGGACAAAAGUAGUAUGUAAAUUUAGAAGGGUGGGAGAUCAGAUUUAAGGCAUCCUGAGGUCAAGGUAUAUUUGGAGAAAAAAAAUACUAUUUAAACUUCGUUCAGAAGAAUGACGUAGAGUUUUAAUUAAUCAAUUCCAAACAUGUAGAGGGAGAAUUAGGAUGGGGAAGAGAAAAAGUACACCCAAAGGAGGUAGGAAGGGUGAGUGUAAAACAGGAAAGGCAGAAUGAAUAGAAAGGAUAAAUAGAAAUAAGAGAGUGGAAAUAAAUCCAAAGAAGUAAGUAAACAAAAUAAAGGAAAAAAAAAUCUGAGCAUGGUGGUGCAACCCUGUAAUUUCAGCUACUUGGAAGGCUAAGGUGGGAGGAUUGCUGUAGCUAAGGAGUUCAAGACCAGCCUGGACAAUAUAUCAAGACCCCAUCUUGAAAGAAAAAUAAAGCAAGGAAGCAAGAAGAAAGGAAGGAAA